UACGAGGGGGGCAAGCGUUGUUCGGAAUUAUUGGGCGUAAAGGGUGCGUAGGCGGUCUGAUAAGUCAUCUGUGAAAUCUAUGGGCUCAACCCAUAGUCUGCAGGCGAAACUGUCGGGCUUGAGUAUGGGAGAGGUGAGUGGAAUUUCCGGUGUAGCGGUGAAAUGCGUAGAUAUCGGAAGGAACACCUGUGGCGAAAGCGGCUCACUGGACCAUAACUGACGCUGAUGCACGAAAGCUAGGGGAGCAAACAGG
rnacentral:rRNA from 1 species